CCGGCGCGACUACCUGCAGUCGAGCGGUAGCACAGAGAGCUUGCUCUCGGGUGACGAGCGGCGGACGGGUGAGUAAUGUCUGGGAAACUGCCUGAUGGAGGGGGAUAACUACUGGAAACGGUAGCUAAUACCGCAUAACGUCGCAAGACCAAAGUGGGGGACCUUCGGGCCUCAUGCCAUCAGAUGUGCCCAGAUGGGAUUAGCUAGUAGGUGGGGUAACGGCUCACCUAGGCGACGAUCCCUAGCUGGUCUGAGAGGAUGACCAGCCACACUGGAACUGAGACACGGUCCAGACUCCUACGGGAGGCAGCAGUGGGGAAUAUUGCACAAUGGGCGCAAGCCUGAUGCAGCCAUGCCGCGUGUGUGAAGAAGGCCUUCGGGUUGUAAAGCACUUUCAGCGGGGAGGAAGGCGAUAAGGUUAAUAACCUUGUCGAUUGACGUUACCCGCAGAAGAAGCACCGGCUAACUCCGUGCCAGCAGCCGCGGUAAUACGGAGGGUGCAAGCGUUAAUCGGAAUUACUGGGCGUAAAGCGCACGCAGGCGGUCUGUCAAGUCGGAUGUGAAAUCCCCGGGCUCAACCUGGGAACUGCAUUCGAAACU
rnacentral:rRNA from 1 species